GAUGGGAAAAGUAGUGACUGGGGGAGAUGUCUGGCAGUGAGGAUAUCUACGUGGUGACUGUGGAAUAAAUGGAUCUUCAGAGAACAAGAUAAAGGUAUGAGUGUGCAAUGACUUCAUCUGAAAAUGAACAAAUUCAGGAAAUAAAUGCAUCACUUCCAGCAAGUGAGGAUACUCAGUUCUUGGAACAUCCUCCUCCAAGUCACAGGGCCUGCUUGGGUGGGCUCAACUGUGCUUUUUGUGAAGGAGCUCAUCCCAUUCAGGGAGGAAAUGCCACCAGGAGGCCCAGUGCCAGGGCUGUGUAAUCACAAAGAUACCUUCUGACUGUAGAAGUCUCCAGAAAACACUUCCAAUUGCAAAAUUGUCAGCAGAAUUUCUCCUCACCUGUACUGAGUCGAUGAAAGUUCCCUAAGAGUAAAGCUGGUGCAGAGAGAGGCUGAAGAAUUUCCUGCCUUCAGUACAGAGUCAAUUACUCGUUUGCAUUUGCAUAACAAAUGUGGGAGAUGGCUUUAAUCAGCUCUGGGCAUGAAAGAGCUGUGAACGGUCUGUCCCUGAGGGUCUGCAAGAUUUCAGUGCCAGGGAAGUCAGGCCUCUGGGCUGAAGUAACUCUCCUCCAACACGUCCAGGAUGCAUAAAACAAGCAUGAGAUAGAUGCCAAUGACAUUUAGGUGGGCAGUCAGAAUUCUUCAAUCCCAGCUCAACUGAUCAGCCAUUAAAUAUUAGUUAGGUAACUUUAUCUGUGGCAAGUAAUAGCAGAGACAACAGCUUGAAAAUAACAUUCUUGGAGCCUUAUUUCCUUUAAGUUGACCAACAAUGCGUAAACAAAGGUCCUUGAGCUUGUGGUGGGAGGACAGAGCUCUGAGAGGUGACCUUGAGUUCUGCCAGAAGAUGGAGAAGGCUAUUCCUUCCUUUUCCUAACUAGAAGGCAUGUUGUGAUCUGGCAGUGCAUCGAAAACAAGGAAAACAAAGCAUUUUCCCCAUUGUCCUUUAUUACCCUCUAAUCAUUUACUGUUUGGAGGGCAAAACCCUGAAAGAAUUCAAAUUAGAUUAUGCAACAUCGUGAAGCAUAAAACCUGAUUGUGUUAAGUCUAGGCAGAACUUCCAAAUGGAAGUUGGAACAUGCCUCAGUCUGUACGUCUCAGAUGUCCUGCACAGCAGUAGUGGCUACACAGAAGUGCUUGGAUAGGGUCUGAGUGUGCAAGUUUUACCCCAGGAAUUGUGGAUAACUAAUUAGUGGGCACAUCAGAGUGUUUCUUUGCUCUAGUAUUUCAAUUUUCUGGCUGUGUCAAUCAGCUUGUGCUUCCACUGAAUUACAGUGGUUAUUAGAAAUUUCUGCUGUGAUCUUUAAAUAUCAGCUGUGUCAUAAAUAUUUUAUGACAUUUUCAGUGACAAAUGAUGAGUUUAAUCAGACUCCAGAGAAAUCUGUUGGAGCUAGGAGAGCACUCUAGGGCAGAGAGAACAGCAGUGUGAGGUUCCUGGGAGCUUUCAUACUCUCCUGAGCUAACGAGAAAUGCUCUUUGUGCCUACACCCUGACACAGAGAUGCGCACUCCUGCUGCGUGAGUAUCCCUCUCCCUCAGUCACAGCCUGUGCCCAUCUCUGCUGCAGCAACCAUCACAGACCACCCGUGCUGCUGUGGUGGACUUGGUAGCAAUCAUCCCCUUUGCUUUGUCUAGCCCAGGCUCAGGCAGGCUAUGUGAGGUGGCACAGCUGUGUGGUGACAGCUCCCAGCGCACCAAGGCACCGGGGCUGGGACCUGCCUGGCCUUGUGAGCCCGUGGUGCCGCUGUGCAGGGGCAGCAGGACCCACCCAUGUCCCGGUGGUGCACGGUGUCCCUGGCGGCACCCACGGGGCCCAGCAGCCCCUAAUGCCCUGCUCCCUGCUGAGCUGGAGCGGGUCUGUUGGCGGCCCUGUGACUUGAGCCUUUUUUUAUUUCUUCACCUGGAGAACUUUGAGAGUUGCCAAACACUUCAGACACUAUUUCUGGUAGUGAAGGGUACUAAAAAUGCGAUUGCCAACAAGUCAUAUUGUGGAGACUGUUCCCUUGUAUUUCUCAGGUGAUCCACCCUCCAGACCUGAUGUUAAAUACACCACCGUAAUGCUGAACACUAGUGUGGCUAGUGUCUGGCUGGUAACUCGCUGUAAUGAGUGAUGAAAAGGCUCCAAAAGGUGUGUUCACAAUUUUGUAGUCAAUAAUUCUUCCUACUAUCUGGUCUGCACAACUUUCAUUCUAAACCUUAUCUUACCAGCUAAAGGGAGAGCAGCAAGCAUCGCCCAGCCAGGCUGCAGACAGCAGCCGUGGUCUCCAGCAGCAUCCCUGCGGGGAGCUGCGGGCGGGUGGGGGGCUCAGAGGGGCUUGGGGCUCAGGAGGCUGUGCUCAGCAUCAGGAAAUCCAGAGUUACGGGUAGCAUCUUGGGGUCAGUUCUUAAUGUCUUGGCACAGGACUAGGGGAAGGCUGACAGUGGGAUGGGGACCAACAGCACCCAGCACAGAACGGGGGUCACCCCUCACCGCACUGCUCCGUGAGCUACAGCACCUUCCUGACAGCACUGAGCUGAGACCUUCCUUCAGAGAAAAAGGUCUGGAAGCUCCACGUAAAAACUGAGAGGGGAGAGAGAACCUGACUGAAUUGAGAUCUUUCUGCAUAACGAACUGCUUCGUACAGAACUAUAAAUGUUAAAACAUAAAAAUGACUGCCUGCACUUUGGAGCAAAUGUCUAAAGAUAAUUAAUGUACAGAGCCAAUUUUACUUGUGGUUAUUCCUUCAAGGUGUACGGCUGUUACUCUCAGGAGGAGAAGUUCUGCGUUAUAAAAUCCCGGAGUGGUGGCAGUAGCUUGAAGAUGCGCUGGUGGCAGUGGAGAGGUGCAGACACUUACUGUGGAAAUCCCAUGGAUAACCAGAGGCUGCAUGGCCGGGGCGUUACUCCUUGUGACAGAUACGGCUGGGCAGGAGGGCUGCACCCGGGCAGGGCUGACAGCACACCACCACCGCCAGCUUCAGCAGCAGCUGCAGCUCCUGCUCCCUGCCAGGCAGCGGGAUUCCAGCACAAACACUGAUAGGGGAAGUAAUCUGGCCUGCCUCAGGCUGGAGAGAAGCCCAGGAGAUAAGCUGUGUGCUGCAAUGAUUUCACAUGCGGGAAGUGCCCAGAUCUGAAAAGAAGGCUUGAAAUCGGUCAAUUCUUUCUUCCCAGUGUAAGAGUCCACUAUCUCUUGAUAGCGUUCCCAGGUGUUGGCUUUUUCUUUCUUUUUUAUUUAUUUUUCCUUAUAGGCACUUUAUUUUGAAGACUGCCUGGGGGGAAACAAGUUUGCCUUGGCAAGCCCAGCUUGCUUGCUUGGGUAAGUGGCAAUGCAGCCUGUUAACUCACGGGGAGAUGCGUGGCUGGAAGCCUGCUGCCUCCUGGAGCCCCAUGUCCCAGUGCCAAGGGAGUGUAAGGGAGCUGUGCCCUGGGGUGUCCAGCUGAGCCCCCUGCCCCUGUGCUGGUGGGGGGCUGGGGGUCACAGAGGUGGCUGUGUGCUGGCUGCAGGGAGCUGCUCGCAGCCAGGGCUGGGGGUAUGGGGCAGUAGACCCUGCACUGAGGCACCCAGUGCCCUACGGGAGGGCUGGGAGGGGGCAGCACUUCCUAAUGCUGCUUAUUGCAGGGGCAAAACCCACAGAACAGGAAUGCGUUCCCCUGUGUAAACAGAGGAGAUGUUUACUGUGACAGAGCUAAUUAGGCUCCUGGGAGAAUUUAUGCAGAGCUAAUAAGAAGCAGAACUAAACGUUGUCUUAAUUUACCCUCAAGCUCACAAAAAUGUUGUUCAUUCAUGUUGCACUAAUUAAGCCAGCAGCCAUUAACCCUUUCUUCAGAGGCAGAGACCCUUGGCACUGAAGAGGAGUUAAACCACAUCCUUCCCGAUGGGUGCUUUGGUGUUUCUGUGUAUCUUCAAACACGUACCUGGACCCAGUGGUGAGCACUGGAGGUGCUGCUGGCCCCGAGCAGCAAUCCUGCCCUCCCCAGCUCAGCGCAGACCCAGCCUGGUGCCUGCUGUGGAGCUGCUCAGCACCCCGGGCUGCGGCUGGGACGGGCUCAGAGCUCCAGCCCCAUCUUACAGCCUCCCUUUGUGCUGAGGAGCUGAUAGCACUGGAAGCCCUUGUGUGAGCCUGGUGGUUGCAUUCAGCUCCUCUGAAGUGAUAUUUGUCACACCGAGGUUGCUGCAAGAGGCAGCAGAGUGGAUGAGGACUUGGGCAGGUUCAGAGCACUUGGAGUUGCUUUGCUGUAGCUCAUCCUACAGCCAGCUGCCCUGACGGAGCUGUGUGAGGAGCACAGCAGCUCCCUGCACUGUGCUGAGGUGCACUACAAGAGUUCUGCCGUCAGGAGGACGGAAGGGGCACAAAAUGGUAUUUACUGUUCAUGUGCUUUAAAAGCAGAGAUGAGGCUGGUGGCUGAAGCACCACGUGGAGAGAUUUCCAUGUCUCAUGGUACAGAGCAAGAGCAUUGUGCACCCAUAUCGUGUAAGCAGGACGAGAACAAAAUACAAAACACGGUGUGUUUGUCAUUAUCUUGCCCGCUUGUGACCUCUUGGAACUGUGAAUAACAAUGCGAGAGGGGCACCACUGGCUCCCUCACCACAAAUCCUGUUCUCAGUUAACUGGAGCCUUAUAACUUGCAUGUAAGGUCUUGCACCAGCGUCAUGUUUUGUCUUGAGAUCUCCCUCCUGUUAUGAGGAAGGGAUAUUCCUUGUUCCCUUGUCAGGCACUGCAGUGCUCUCAAGAUUCUUUUUUUUGUUUGUUUGUUUUGUUUUGUUUGUUUGUUUUGUUGGUUUUGGUUGAUUUGUUUGUUUUCUGUUUGUUCCUGGUGAUGGUCCCACCAGAGAGCAGAGCCCCUGCCUCCUGGUGGGGCCAGGCUGCCGAACGGCCAGCAGCAGGAAUGAUAAGGACGUGUAAGCAGAGUUUUAUUAUAAUGUCUUUUACUUUGUAAUUUUAAUUGUAACAACUACCAAAAUGAUCGAUAGUUCAGUUCUUUAGUGUUAAUGCUUUUUUUAUAAACCAUUGAAAGACUCCAAGCAAAUGACAAAAAAUAAAGCUUUUAUGAACGUUUAAGCUAUUUUUCAUCAUUAACUAUUCAAAAUGCUUUUUAUUUCUUUGAUCACCUUAAUGUAAGAACUUGCAGUCAUAAAAUGCCAGCUAACCCUGUGACAGAAUGCAAAGCUCACUUUGUGUUUGCGUGUAUGUGUGUGAGAGCCCUUAGUGUCUGUGGGCAUGAUGCUGCCAGGCGUGCUUUGUGAUGUAUUUAAAUCAUAUUUGUAACUAUCGCUGCUGUUCUAAGGUAAGAACAGAAAUCAGAUCCUUUGGUGUUUUUUUUUUCUUUUUGUUAUAUACCAAAAAAAAAUGUGUUCACUACUUGAUGUAAGAUGACUGAAUUGGAGUGUAGGAGACGGUAUGGGUGAUGUUCAUUGUGUCGUUCUGCAGACUUUAGUGAUCAGAAUUCUGCAGAUAUCUGUGAAUCAGUUCCAAAAUUAUCUAUUAAAUCUGAAUGUGAGCCCUGGUGAGGCCACACCUGAAGUAAAUCAGCUGGGGAACACAAAUUUUAGCAAUUCAGAUGAAAGUCUUAUUCAUUUUAAGUGUUUCAAUACAAUUUUGAUAUCAUAUUGAGGUGCUAUCCGUAUUUGCAAUCAGAAUUUAUCAGAUCACUGGUGGCUAAUAGUUUUUUAUAUGACGCUUUUCAGAUAUAAUCUUCUCUCUCUCUUUUCUUUUCUUUUUUUUUUUUUUUUUUUUUUAAAUUGGAUUAUACUUGUAGUAGCAGUAAGAUGGCUGGAUAAGAUCAUCUUAGUGGGGCUAUUCCCUCUCGCUAGGUUUCCUACCACACCUGAUGUGAAACACUCCUCGCAGGAGUGCUGUGCUGGAUGGGGGUGCUGGAGGGGAGGCACCUCUCCGGUGACAUUUCCUAUGUUCAUGUAUGUCAGGGCCCUUCGCUGUUCAGAUGCGGUGACUGCAAUGAAGUCAAGGGAGUGGUCAGAGCGCUCAUGUGAUAUUGUAACCAGCUGUGUUAUCUUCAUUGACAGAAUCGUUGUUUGCUGUAGCAGGUGCCAAUUUACUCAAGUGUUCCAGCACUUCUCAGUGCCUGCUAAUUCUUCCUACAAGGAAACAGCUGGUGUGCAGAAGUCCUCUUUGGAGAAUGUUGUGGUUUGAUGUGGCAGGACAGAAGAUGAAGAGAAAUAAUAAUGAAAACACUGUUAGAAAGUACAAAGCAAGUGAUGCACAAUGCAAUUUAUCACCACCUGCCAACCCACUCCCAGCCCAUCCCUGAGCAGCAGUCUCCCCCCCACCCCUGGCAGCCACCCCCUAGGGCUUGCUCAGCGUGAUGCCAUAUGGGAUGGAGAGAAAUAUCCCUUGGGCCAGUUUGGGUCAGCUGUCCUGGCUCCGUCCCCUCCCAGUUCCUUGCACACCCCCAGCCCCCUUGCUGGCAGGGCAGAAUAGGAAACUGAAAGGUCCUUAACCUAGCACAAGCAGUGCUCAGCAACAACUGAACCGUCAGCGCCUUAUCAGUACUGUUCUCGUCCUAGAUGAGAAAUUUCAUCCUAGACGACGAACAUUCUGAAAUGCAGCACCGUACGGAAUCACAGAACCGAGGUGGGAAGGGACCUCUGAAAUCACCCAGUCCAACCCCCCUGCCCAGCAGGAUCACCCAGAACACCUUCCACAGGCUGGCACCCAGGCGGGGUUUGGAUAUCUCCAGUGAAGGGGACUGCACAGCCUCUCUGGGCAGCCUGUCCCAGUGCUCCAUCACCUCCCAGUAAAGGAGAGAUCCAACCUGUAAUUAGAUCACGUUGUAGAAAUGGGAAAAAGCCAGGCAAACAUUUAGGUGCACACCUUCUUCCUAGGAUCUGAAAAGAGAGGGGAAAAAAAAAAAAGGCAAGCCCAAAGCUUGUUAAAAAGCUAACUUAAGUUGACAACAGUGUUUUGAGUCUGAGAUAUGUAUCUGAUUAAUGUAUAAGCCUUGUAAAUGACUGAUGACUUGUGUUUUGCUUAAGUCUGUUUUCCAAAUUUCCACCUGCAAAUUUAAAAUAAAUAAAUGGAUUAAUUUCAGGAAUUUAGGUCAGGAAAAAUAUGCAAAAAUGAUAACUGGAAAUGAGAGAGAGAUUUACCUGAUAAUUGAAUAUGAAGCCGAUAGGAAAAAAAAAUAUCCUUUGUUAGUGAGGGCUCGUACUUAGGCAACAACAUGGGAGGUGGCAAAUAUUUGUUGGAGAGCGUAUUGAUUUUUUGUGCAUCAUUACAGUGUUGUAGGAUCGCCUACCUGCUCAGUCCUAACUGUUUGCCUUGCUUUCAUCCUUUUUCUGCACAGAU